AUGCCGACCGAGCUGAAGCGCGCUGCGGAGGAUGGUGAUGAUUCCACUUCCACCUGUCUUCGCCGGAAAAUUGUAGUUCCAGAAAAGCCGGUCUAUCUGGUGGUGGAGCACAAGGCGGAGCCAGUGUACUCCAUCCUCAGUGGGUCCUGGAUCGUUGGCGUGGGCGGGGACGAGCAGAUUCACACCACCAUCUUCGAUGUCACGGCCUCCAAGGAGUGGCAGGGCCCGUGGCUCCAUACCAAUAAGAUGGAGCCCAUCCUGAUUGCACACCGCGGCCAGCUCUACGUGCUCUCGAGCCGCUCCUCCGUGAAGAGAGGGGACGGCCGCCCUAACCAAGCUGAGGUUUGCCUAGAACUCGAGCCGCCGCCCAUCUUUUCGUGCCGCAUCACCCCGCCUGAGUACAUGAACCCGCCAGCUAUACGUGUUGCCUCCUACGCCAUGGUUGACUCCCAUAUUUUGCUCUCCAUGCAACUGGACAAUGUGACCAGCCCCGACAAGGUUGCCAGGAAAUACAGGAAAUACAUGGGAACCUACGGGUACGACAUGGAGAAGAAGGUGUGGGAGAUGGUGCAUGAGAUGAAUCUUCCUUACCUUGGCCAGGCGGUGCCCCUCGGCGACCAACUCUUUCUUGCCCGCUCCAAAGAGAGGGACGGCGCUUAUGCAGUGUACUACAUGCAUGUCGGUCAGUCAACAUCUGGGACCAGCGAGCUGUCCAUUAUUGAGGUUCCGCUGGUGGUGCCAAAGGCCCGACCUAUUCUGGGGGAACUUCUCGUCCCUUUGGGAAGGGGCCGGUUCUCUUCUGUUCACUUUCGAUCUGUCGAUGCUGAACCAGAGUCCAAGUUCAGCAAACCAAGUGAUGUACAUGGCACCUACUCUAUUGUGAAAGAAAAUUUCGAUGAUGCUAUAAUAAUGAAGCAGCAGUGGCAAGUUUAA
rnacentral:rRNA from 1 species